rnacentral:rRNA from 1 species
UACGUAGGUGGCAAGCGUUGUCCGGAUUUACUGGGUGUAAAGGGCGUGCAGCCGGGCUGACAAGUCAGAUGUGAAAUCCCGCGGCUCAACCGCGGAACUGCAUUUGAAACUGUCAGUCUUGAGUACCGGAGAGGUCAUCGGAAUUCCUUGUGUAGCGGUGAAAUGCGUAGAUAUAAGGAAGAACACCAGUGGCGAAGGCGGAUGACUGGACGACAACUGACGGUGAGGCGCGAAAGCGUGGGGAGCAAACAGG